GCAGUCGACGAGAUCUUCGGAUCUAGUGGCGCACGGGUGCGUAACGCGUGGGAAUCUGCCCUUGGGUUCGGAAUAACAGUUGGAAACGGCUGCUAAUACCGGAUGAUGACGUAAGUCCAAAGAUUUAUCGCCCAAGGAUGAGCCCGCGUAGGAUUAGCUAGUUGGUAAGGUAAAGGCUUACCAAGGCGACGAUCCUUAGCUGGUCUGAGAGGAUGAUCAGCCACACUGGGACUGAGACACGGCCCAGACUCCUACGGGAGGCAGCAGUAGGGAAUAUUGGACAAUGGGGGCAACCCUGAUCCAGCAAUGCCGCGUGAGUGAUGAAGGCCUUAGGGUUGUAAAGCUCUUUUACCCGGGAUGAUAAUGACAGUACCGGGAGAAUAAGCCCCGGCUAACUCCGUGCCAGCAGCCGCGGUAAUACGGAGGGGGCUAGCGUUGUUCGGAAUUACUGGGCGUAAAGCGCACGUAGGCGGCGAUUUAAGUCAGAGGUGAAAGCCCGGGGCUCAACCCCGGAAUAGCCUUUGAGACUGGAUUGCUUGAACAUCGGAGAGGUGAGUGGAAUUCCGAGUGUAGAGGU
rnacentral:rRNA from 1 species